UCUGAAGUCCUAUGCUUGUCUCAAAGAUUAAGCCUGCAUGUCUAAGUACAAGCCGUUCAUCCGGGAAGACUGCAAAGGCUCAUUUAAAUAGGUUAUGAUUACUCUGUGGCCCAACUCACCCGUGGAUAUCGGGCGGUAUUUUAGGUGCUAAUACAUGCAACAAGGCUCCCACCCUGGAUUCGUGCGUUUAUAAGGCGCACUUAUUAGGCGAAUACCAAUCGACUCGCUUUGACGAUCGUUGGUGGACGACACCCGAGUAAUUGCCGCCGAUCGCACGGCCUCUGAUCCGGCGACGCCAGCAUUGAGCUAUUGAUCUAUCAUGCUGCCGACGGUUGGUGCUAUGCCAACCGCGGCGUUAACGGAUAACAGAGAAUCAUUGUUCGAUUCCGGAGAGGGAGCCUCAGAAACGGCUACCACAUCUAAGGAAGGCAGCAGGCGCGCAAAUUACCCACUCCUGGCACGGGGAGGUAGUACAAGAAAUAACAAUACGGGACUCUAUCGAGGCCCCGGAAUUGGAAUGAGUACACUUUAAAUCCUUUAACGAGGAUCCAUUGGAGGGCAAGUCUGGUGCCAGCAGCCGCGGUAAUUCCAGCUCCAAUAGCGUAUAUUAAAGUUGUUGCGGUUAAAAAGCUCGUAGUUGGAUCUCGGGUCCAGGCCUGCGGUUCUGCUCAUGCAGAUACUGAUCGACCUGACCUACCUGCCGGGUUUCCCUUGGUGCCCUUAACUGGGUGUGUUGAGUGACCCGGAACGUUUACUUUGAAAAAAUUAGAGUGUUCAAAGCAGGCAGCUCGCCUGAAUAAUGGUGCAUGGAAUAAUGGAAUAGGAUCUCGGUUCUAUUUUGUUGGUUUUCGGAACUUGAGGUAAUGAUUAAUAGGGACAGCCGGGGGCAUUCGUAUUGCGGUGUUAGAGGUGAAAUUCUUGGAGGGCCGUAAGACGAACUACUGCGAAAGCAUUUGCCAAGGAUGUUUUCAUUAAUCAAGAACGAAAGUCAGAGGUGCGAAGGCGAUCAGAUACCGCCGUAGUUCUGACCGUAAACGUUGCCGACUGGCAAUUGGGCGCACUUCUGUCGAAGUUGCCGCCAGCAGUACUGCCCGGGAAACCAAAGUCAUUGGGUUUCGGGGGGAGGAUGGGUGCAAAGCUGAAACUUAAAGGAAUUGACGGAAGGGCACCACCAGGAGUGGAGCCUGAGGGUUAAUUUGACUCAACACGGGAAAACUUACCCGGCCGAACACUGGUAUGACAGACAGGUUGAGAGCUCUUUUUUGAUUCAAUGGGUGGUGGGGCAUGGGCCGUCUUAAUUUGUGGAGCGAACUGGCUGGUUAAUUUCGAUAACGAACGAGAAUCUUGGCUGGUAAAUAAACGGCGCCCACCCAAUGCGGGGGGCGGUCGCUUUUUAAAGGGACAAGCGGGUUAUAACCGCGUGAAGGUGAGAGCAAUAACAAGUCUGUGAUGGAACNUGUUCGGGGCCGCACGCGCGUCUACACUGUUUGCAUCAGCGUGUUUCUCCAGCGCCGGUCGGCGCUGGCAACCCGUUGAACCGCAAACGUGCUAGGGAUCGGAGAUUGCAAUUGUUCUCCGUGAACGAGGAAUUCCUUGUACUUGGCGAGUCAUCAGCUCGCGGGGAAUCUGUCCCUGCCCUUUGUACACACCGCCCGUCGCUACUACCGAUUGAGUGGUUUAGUGAGGCUCACGGACUGCGAGCGGCACCCGUCGGCCUCGGCCGGCACAGGCGUCGCGAGCGGAAAGUGAGACGAACUUGAUCACUUCUAGGAAGUAAAAGUCGUAACAAGGUUUUCGUAGGUGAACCUGCGGAAGGAUCA
rnacentral:rRNA from 1 species